GGCAAGACGACGUAGAUUUAAUCCCAUAGAUAAUUUGAAGGCAAAGCAAAAUAAAGAUAAAAUAAAAAUAGAGAAAGAACAGAAUGCAUCCACUAUAUCUGCGUCUUCAGCAGAAGUAAUAGAGGAUUGCUAUCUGAGAAUGGUAGAUGCAUAUUAUUACAUGUUAGAGAUAUUACACAAGUCUAUCAACACUGUAACGAACUAGCUGUUUCUCUGAACCUAGGUCCACAAACUCAAUUUGAAAUAACAGAUUGCAACACAAGGGAGAUAAUUCAAUGAAUGGAGCAAUAUAUAUUAAUCAUCUGAAAGGAGUACACUAUGAAGUUGUAAUGAAUGUUAUGAGAGAU